rnacentral:tRNA from 1 species
GCCGAGGUGGUGAAAUUGGUAGACACGCUAUCUUGAGGGGGUAGUGGGCAACGCCUGUAAGGGUUCGAGUCCCUUUCUCGGCA